rnacentral:rRNA from 1 species
UACGUAGGGGGCUAGCGUUGUCCGGAUUUAUUGGGCGUAAAGAGCGUGUAGGCGGCCAGACAGGUCCGUUGUGAAAACUCGAGGCUCAACCUCGAGACGUCGAUGGAAACCGUCUGGCUAGAGUCCGGAAGAGGAGAGUGGAAUUCCUGGUGUAGCGGUGAAAUGCGCAGAUAUCAGGAAGAACACCCGUGGCGAAGGCGGCUCUCUGGGACGGUACUGACGCUGAGACGCGAAAGCGUGGGGAGCGAACAGG